UACGGGGGGUGCAAGCGUUGUCCGGAAUCACUGGGCGUAAAGGGCGCGUAGGUGGCGUCGUAAGUCUGUGGUGAAAGCCCGGAGCUCAACUCCGGGUCUGCCGCGGAUACUGCGAGGCUUGAGUGCUGUAGAGGGGGGUAGAAUGCCGGGUGUAGCGGUGGAAUGCGUAGAGAUCCGGCAGAAGACCGGUGGCGAAGGCGGCCCCCUGGGCAGUAACUGACGCUGAGGAGCGAAAGCGUGGGGAGCGAACAGG
rnacentral:rRNA from 1 species